rnacentral:lncRNA from 1 species
GGUGUAAUUAUAGGUGUAUAUUUAGGUUCCACGUGUAAGCUGGAGCAAUGUAUGCAUUGCUUGUGGAAUGAGUCUGAUUACACUGCAGUAACAUUAUGGGUCUGUCCUGGUCCAGGUUUUUAUCAUGAGCUUGAAAGAACCUCUUCAUAGGCAUGUGAAUCAAAUCGGAGGAUGAAUCAAAGUUGGGGGAACAGCUAAUAUGAUAGAAGACAAAACCAAGACUCUAAAUGUUCUCAACAGGCUGCAAUGAUGGGCCAAAGCCAAGAAGAAAUUUAAUAGAGAAAAACAAACAGCAGAAUCUUAGAAGAAAAGGACCUGAAAGGUCAUUGACUGGAGCCUCUGAUUAAAUCCUUGACUAGGUAGAUUUCCUCCCUCCCGAUCUUUACUAUUCUGGUCACACCUGUUUCUAUCUGAUUAUCUCUGGGUGUAUGAAGAAAUUACCAUAUCUAUUUAAAAACCUUGUUAAAUUCCAAUUAAACGGACUGGGCUAGCUUAGAUUUUAAACCCCAAGCUCUUAAAGCAGAUGUCUGAGAAGCAGACUUGUAUCUAAUCCCGAGUGUGUGGUCUUGGCUUCGGAAGCUGUUUAGUGCAUAAACUCAGCGCUGUUUGCUAUCGACUGGAGCAAUCGUUCUGAUGGAGGAACCACCAGCAUCUACAGUUUUACUGGGGUAGGGGGAGGAGGAGUAUGAGAGCUGAAAAGAAAGUAUGGCGGUAGGAUGGAAAUGCCCAGAUUUAAAGACAUCAUGCAGUGUCAUGCCAAGAUGGAGGACACUCUGGGCUGGCCAAGGGAAUGGGCCAAAACUGUGGGUCAGAGUACCUGGCACAUGAAAGACACUCCAUAAAUCUUCGAUGGAUGCAGGGAUGAAAGACCACGUGAAGGAAGGAAGACAGGAGCCAAGGAGCUGGGCUGCAUUGUGGAUGUGCUCAAGGUCGGAUCAUCAGCCAAGCUCAGGACCAGAGCCUCCUCACUCCUUCUCUGAGCCCUCCUCCCAGGUCUAACUCUGUGCUUCACCAAAGCUGUUAAUCACCUUGCUGACAGGCAGGGUCAUCCAAGAAAGUAGAAAGAGG